GCGGGUGUGGUGGAAUUGGUAGACGCGCCGGACUCAAAAUUCGGUUCCGCAAGGAGUGUCGGUUCGAGUCCGACCACCCGCACCA
rnacentral:tRNA from 1 species